rnacentral:rRNA from 1 species
CACGUAGGGCGCAAGCGUUGUCCGGAAUUAUUGGGCGUAAAGAGCUCGUAGGCGGUCUGUUGCGUCCGCUGUGAAAACUCGGGGCUUAACCCCGAGCCUGCAGUGGAUACGGGCAGACUAGAGGUAGGUAGGGGAGAAUGGAAUUCCCGGUGUAGCGGUGAAAUGCGCAGAUAUCGGGAGGAACACCGGUGGCGAAGGCAGGUCUCUGGGCCACUACUGACGCUGAGAAGCGAAAGCGUGGGGAGCGAACAGG